AAAGUUGCAAAGCACUUUGAAGAGAGAGUUAAAGAGGACGUGAAACCGGUAGGAUGGAAACGGAUAGAGCCAGCGAAGUCGCUCGUAUUCAACCAAAGGCUGGGGGCAUCGGUUUGUCGGGUUACUAAUCGUGCCUGGCUUGCCUUUUUGUCCUCAGUUGAGGUGCAUUUGCGGGCGUUUGCGCUGAGACUUGCGGGUCAGCUUCUGGACCUGGGCCUAGAGGCCGUCCUCUGGGCGGAACUUGGGCACGGUGACGGUUGUUUGGCCUGCUCGUACAACGGCUUGGCCUACGGACUGCGGCGCUGCCGUUGCUCUCUUGUGGUGUCAUCGCUUGCGAUGGCCUGCUUGGGGGUAGCGGUUGUGUUGUUUGUUCCCAAGUCGGCUCUCGGUGUAAAAGCUGGUCACCUAUCCGACCCGUCUUGAAACACGGACCAAGGAGUUUAGCGUAUACGCGAGCCAUUGGGUGUUAAAACUCACAGGCGUAAUGAAAGUAAAGGCCCAGCCGCUGGGCUGACAUGCGAGUUUGCGGGCCUCGGCCUUCAGAUGCAGCAUGGUCCCGUUUCAGCCGCUUGCGGCGGAGCGGAGACAGAGCGUAUGCGCUGAGACCCGAAAGAUGGUGAACUAUUCCUGAGCAGGAUGAAGCCAGAGGAAACUCUGGUGGAAGUCCGAAGCGAUUCUGACGUGCAAAUCGAUCGUCUGACUUGGGUAUAGGGGCGAAAGACUAAUCGAACCAUCUAGUAGCUGGUCCU
rnacentral:rRNA from 1 species